UCGAAACCUGCCUNGCAGAACGACCCGCGAACAUGUUUCUGAUCACGNUNGGGGGGCAUUGAGGGCGCCUUGUGUGCCCUCUUGCCCCUCGUCCUAGCAGGNGNGNCGCUCACUUGUGAUGCGUCCCCAUGCUGCCUAAACGAACCCCGGCGCGAAAAGCGUCAAGAAAUAUAACAAAAGUGUGUGCCUACGCCCCGCCCGGUUAGCCGGUGCGGGCGAGGUGCCAUGUCUUACUAACAAUAAACGACUCUCGGCAACGGAUAUCUCGGCUCUCGCAUCGAUGAAGAACGUAGCGAAAUGCGAUACUUGGUGUGAAUUGCAGAAUCCCGUGAACCAUCGAGUCUUUGAACGCAAGUUGCGCCCGAAGCCUAUGGCUGAGGGCACGUCUGCCUGGGCGUCACGCAUCGCGUCUCCCCUACAAAUCACCUUGAUUUUGGGGGAAGGAGGAUGGCUUCCCGNGCCUCACCGGGCGCGGCUGGCCUAAACUCGGAGCCAACGGCACGGAGCUGCUGCGGCGACUGGUGGUGAACAAGGCCUCGGCCGCGCAAACAACCCGCNGUGGAAGCCCGCGCUAAUUUGGACUCGUCGGACCCUUGGACGGNGCUUCUAGCACCGCAAACCUUUGCGACCCCAGGUCAGGCGGGG
rnacentral:rRNA from 1 species